rnacentral:misc_RNA from 1 species
AAGUCGUAACAAGGUUUCCGUAGGUGAACCUGCGGAAGGAUCAUUAUUGAAUAAACUUGAACAGGCUGUUGCUGGCCCCUUGAGAAGGGGGUAUGUGCACGCUUGUCAUCUUUAUCAUUUCUCCAACUGUGCACAUAUUGUAGACCUGGGGGAACCUUUUAUUUGAAUUCUAUUCGAUUUGGGGACUGCUGUGCUUUAAAAAAAAGAGUCGGCUUUCCCUUGUAUUUUUCAGGUCUAUGUCACAAUCACUAGAACUUGUUUAGAAGGUUGAAUCAGGUCUUUGUACCUAUAUAAAAGUUAUAUACAACUUUCAGCAACGGAUCUCUUGGCUCUC